rnacentral:rRNA from 1 species
CCGGCACGGGUGAGUAACACGUAUGCAAUCCACCUGUAACAGGGGGAUAACCCGGAGAAAUCCGGACUAAUACCCCAUAAUAUGGGCGCUCCGCAUGGAGAGCCCAUUAAAGAGAGCAAUUUUGGUUACAGACGAGCAUGCGCUCCAUUAGCCAGUUGGCGGGGUAACGGCCCACCAAGACUACGAUGGAUAGGGGUUCUGAGAGGAAGGUCCCCCACAUUGGAACUGAGACACGGUCCAA